rnacentral:tRNA from 1 species
GCAGGCGUAGCUCAGUUGGAUAGAGCAUUUGACUACGAAUCAAAAGGUCACAGGUUCGAAUCCUGUCGCUUGCGCCA